rnacentral:rRNA from 1 species
GUUGAACGCUGGCGGCAGGCUUAACACAUGCAAGUCGAGCGGUAACAGAGAGAAGCUUGCUUUUCUGCUGACGAGCGGCGGACGGGUGAGUAAUGCCUAGGAAUCUGCCUAGUAGUGGGGGAUAACUUGCCGAAAGGUAAGCUAAUACCGCAUACGUCCUACGGGAGAAAGGAGGGGACCUUCGGGCCUUUCGCUAUUAGAUGAGCCUAGGUGGGAUUAGUUAGUUGGUGAGGUAAUGGCUCACCAAGACCGCGAUCCGUAACUGGUCUGAGAGGAUGAUCAGUCACACUGGAACUGAGACACGGUCCAGACUCCUACGGGAGGCAGCAGUGGGGAAUAUUGGACAAUGGGGGGAACCCUGAUCCAGCCAUGCCGCGUGUGUGAAGAAGGUCUUAGGAUUGUAAAGCACUUUAAGUUGGGAGGAAGAGCAGUUAACUAAUAUUUGACUGUUUUGACGUUACCGACAGAAUAAGCACCGGCUAACUUCGUGCCAGCCGCCGCCGUAAAAC